GCCUUGGUGAUUCAGGGGUAGAAUCCUUGCCUUCCAUGUGGGGGACCCAGGUUCGAUUCCCAGCCAGUGCA
rnacentral:tRNA from 1 species